CGUCUGUGAACAGACAUGGCUUCCUCAAGGGGGAACUUGAAUUUCUAAAGGGAACGGGCAGCAGCAGCAGAAGGCCAAGCAGAGAUCAGACACCCAAGGGGAGAAAAAGAAAACCUCUGAAACCGUCGGAAACCGUGGCGGCGCGGAGGUGGAGGCCCUUCGUAAAAAUGACAGUUGUCCGAAGGUGUUCAGCGUAGAAUUUGCACACAAUAAUAGUUGGUACAUUACAUUCCGGUGGGACACUGAUGCCCUACAGGUGUGAAUGAAGGCUAUCGACACUGUCUUUUCAAAGAACUGUUACAGCAGCGCAAACCUCAACAUGUACUCCCACCAGUCCCAGUCACGAUCCCAGUACAGCUCUCAACUUUUCAGGCAGCAGGUGAACAGCCCACAGCAGUGGCACUCCCUGUAUGGCAUCGUCCCCCCUACCUGGCGUACCUCCCCUGCACCUUAUUUUGAGGAACUUCUGCUGAGACAGAAUCACUGUCAUAGUGAUCCAGUUCAGUGUGUGGAGGGCAGGGGGGUUGUUCACAGUUUGGUUUUGUUAGUAAAAGUCCCGAACACCAAAACGUGUUUUGUUCCGACAAAGCAGAUUCGAUGUUCGUAGAA